rnacentral:rRNA from 1 species
GGACUACAGGGGUAUCUAAUCCCGUUUGCUCCCCUGGCUUUCGCGCAUCAGCGUCAGAAAGGAUCCAGCACACCGCUUUCGCCACCGGAGUUCCUAUGGAUAUCAACGCAUUUCACCGCUCCACCCACAGUUCCGUGUGCCCCUAUCCUCCUCGAGACCAUCAGUAUCCGAGGCCGUUCUCCAGUUGAGCUGGAGGAUUUCACCCCGGACUUGAUAGCCCGCCUACGCGCCCUUUAAGCCCAGUGAUUCCGAACAACGUUCGCACGGUUCGUCUUACCGCGGCUGCUGGCAC